rnacentral:tRNA from 2 species
GGAGAGAUGGCCGAGUCGGUCGAAGGCGCUCGCCUGCUAAGCGAGUAGGGGGUUUAAAACUCCCUCGAGGGUUCGAAUCCCUCUCUCUCCGCCA